rnacentral:rRNA from 1 species
GAUGAACGCUGGCGGCGUGCCUAAUACAUGCAAGUCGAGCGAACGGACGAGAAGCUUGCUUCUCUGAUGUUAGCGGCGGACGGGUGAGUAACACGUGGAUAACCUACCUAUAAGACUGGGAUAACUUCGGGAAACCGGAGCUAAUACCGGAUGAUAUUUUGAACCGCAUGGUUCAAAAGUGAAAGACGGUCUUGCUGUCACUUAUAGAUGGAUCCGCGCUGCAUUAGCUAGUUGGUAAGGUAACGGCUUACCAAGGAAACGAUGCAUAGCCGACCUGAGAGGGGGAUCGGCCACACUGGAACUGAGACACGGUCCAGACUCCUACGGGAGGCAGCAGUAGGGAAUCUUCCGCAAUGGGCGAAAGCCUGACGGAGCAACGCCGCGUGAGUGAUGAAGGUCUUCGGAUCGUAAAACUCUGUUAUUAGGGAAGAACAUAUGUGUAAGUAACUGUGCACAUCUUGACGGUACCUAAUCAGAAAGCCACGGCUAACUACGUG